AUUGAACGCUGGCGGCAGGCCUAACACAUGCAAGUCGAGCGAGCGGCGGACGGGUGAGUAAUGUCUGGGAAACUGCCUGAUGGAGGGGGAUAACUACUGGAAACGGUCGCUAAUACCGCAUACCAUCUGCUGUUCCCAGAUGGGAUUCGCUAGUAGGUGGGGUAACGGCUCACCUAGGCGACGAUCCCUCGCUGGUCGGAGAGGAUGACCAGCCACACGGGAACUGAGACACGGUCCAGACUCCUACGGGAGGCAGCAGUGGGGAAUAUUGCACAAUGGGCGCAAGCCUGAUGCAGCCAUGCCGCGUGUAUGAAGAAGGCCUUCUGGUUGUAAAGCACUUUCAGCGGGGAGGCGUUACUCGCAGAAGAAGCACCGGCUAACUCCGUGCCAGCAGCCGCGGUAAUAG
rnacentral:rRNA from 1 species